UACAACUUUCAGCAACGGAUCUCUUGGCUCUCGCAUCGAUGAAGAACGCAGCGAAAUGCGAUAAGUAAUGUGAAUUGCAGAAUUCAGUGAAUCAUCGAUCUUGA
rnacentral:rRNA from 1 species